CGGACGGGUGAGUAAUGCCUGGGAAUAUGCCUUGAUGUGGGGGAUAACUAUUGGAAACGAUAGCUAAUACCGCAUAAUGCCUACGGGCCAAAGAGGGGGACCUUCGGGCCUCUCGCGUCAAGAUUAGCCCAGGUGGGAUUAGCUGGUUGGUGGGGUAACGGCUCACCAAGGCGACGAUCCCUAGCUGGUCUGAGAGGAUGAUCAGCCACACUGGAACUGAGACACGGUCCAG
rnacentral:rRNA from 1 species